AAAUUUCAUAGGUUUAACAACAACAUUUUCAUCAUUCACACAAUUCAAUCAAAUUUCAUAGGUUUAACAACAACACUUUCAUCAUUCCCAUAAUUCAAUCAAAUUUCAUGGGUUUAACAUCAUCAUUUUCGUCAUUCACACAGUUCAAUCAAAUUUCAUGGGUUUAACAUCAACAUUUCAUCAUUUCCACAAUUCAAUCAAAUUUCAUAGGUUUAACAACAACAUUUUCAUCAUUCACACAAUUCAAUCAAAUUUUAUAGGUUUAACAACAACAUUUUCAUCAUCCCCAUAAUUCAACCAAAUUUCAUGGGUUUAAUUAACAACAACAUUUUCAUCAUUCCCACAAUUCAAUCAAAUUUCAUGGGUUUAUCAUCAACAUUUUCAUGAUUCCCACAAUUCAAUCAAAUUUCAUCGGUUUAACAACAACAUUUCUAUCAUUCACACAAUUCAAUCAAAAUUCAUGUGUUUAAUAACAAUAUUUCCGUUAUUCCCACAAUUCAAUCAAAUUUCAUGGGUUUAACAACAACAUUUUCAUUUUUCACACAAUUCAAUCAAAUUUCUUGGGUUUAACAUCAACAUUUCAUCAUUUCCACCAUUCAAUAAAUUUCAUAGAUUUAACAACAAAAUUUUCAUCAUUCCCACAAUUCAAUCAAAAUUCAUGGGUUUAACAUCAUCAUUUUCAUCAUUAACACAGUUCAAUCAAAUUUCAUGGGUUUACCAUCAACAUUUCAUCAUUUCCACAAUUCAAUCAAAUUUCAUAGGUUUAACAACAACAUUUUCAUCAUUCACACAAUUCAUUCAAAUUUCAUGGGUUUAACAUUAUCAUUUUCAUCAUUCACACAGUUCAAUCAAAUUUCAUGGGUUUAACAUCAACAUUUCAUCAUUUCCACAAUUCAAUCAAAUUUCAUGGUUUUAACAACAAUAUUUUCAUUUAAUCACACAAUUCAAUCAAAUUUCAUGGGUUUAACAUCAACAUUUUCAUCAUUCCCACAAUUCAAUCAAAAUUCAUGUGUUUAAUAACAACAUUUCCAUUAUUCCCACAAUUCAAUCAAAUUUCAUGGGUUUAAAUUCAUGUGUUUAAUAACAACAUUUCCAUUAUUCCCACAAUUCAAUCAAAUUUCAUGGGUUUAACAACAACAUUUUCAUUUUUCACACAAUUCAAUCAAAUUUCUUGGGUUUAACAUCAACAUUUCGUCAUUUCCACCAUUCAAUCAAAUUUCAUAGGUUUAACAACAACAUUUUCAUCAUUCACAUAAUUCAUUCAAAUUUCAUGGGUUUAACAUUAUCACUUUCAUCAUUCACACAGUUCAAUCAAAUGUCAUGGGUUUAACAUCAACAUUUCAUCGUUUCCACAAUUCAAUCAAAUUUCAUAGGUUUAACAACAACAUUUUCAAUAUUCACACAAUUCAAUCAAAUUUCAUAGGUUUAACAACAACCUUUUCAUCAUUCCCAUAAUUUAAUCAAAUUUCAUCGGUUUAACAUCAACAUUUUCAUCGUUCACACAAUUCAAUUAGAUUUUAAGGGUUUAACAAAAUAAUUUUUAUUAUUCAUAUAUUUCAAUCAAAUUUCAGGGUUUUAACAACAAUAUUUUCAUUUAAUCACACAAUUCAAUCAAAUUUUAUGGGUUUAACAUCAUCAUUUUCAUCAUUCCCACAAUUCAAUCAAAUUUCCUGUUUUUAACGUCAUCACUUUUAUCAUUCACACAAUUCAAUCGAAUUUCAUGGGUUUAACAUCAACAUUUCAUCAUUUCAACAAUUCAAUCAAAUUUCAUAGGUUUAACAACAACAUUUUCAUCAUUUACACAAUUCAAUAAAAUUUUAUAGGUUUAACAACAACAUUUUCAUCAUCCCCAUAAUUCAACCAAAUUUCAUGGGUUAAACAACAACAUUUUCAUCAAUCCCACAAUGCAAUCAAAUUUCAUGGGUUUAACAUCAACAUUUUCAUCAUUCCCACAAUUCAAUCAAAUUUCAUGGGUUUAACAACAACAUUUCUAUCAUUCACACAACUCAAUCAAAUUUUAGGGGUUUAACAACAACAUUUUCAUCAUUCCCACAAUACAAUCAAAUUUCAUGGGUUUAACAUCAUCAUUUUCAUCAUUCACACAGUUCAAUCAAAUUUCAUGGGUUUAACAUCAACAUUUCAUCAUUUCGACAAUUCAAUCAAAUUUCAUAGGUUUAACAACAACAUUUUCANNNNNNNNNNNNNNNNNAUCCAACAAUUCAAUCAAAUUCAUGGGUUUAACACAACAUUUCAUCAUUUCACAUUCAAUCAAUUUCAAGGCUUUACAACAACAUUUUUCAUUCACAAAUUCAAUAAAAUUUCAUAGGUUUAACAACAACACUUUCAUCAUUCCCAUAAUUCAAUCAAAGUUCAUGGUUUAACAUCAUCGGUUUCGUCAUUCACACAGUUCAAUCAAAUUCAGGGUUUAACAUCAACAUUUCAUCAAUUCCACAUUCAAUCAAUAUGUUCAUAGGUUAACAACAACAUUUUCAAUCAUUUACAACAAUUCAAUCAAAUUUAUAAGGUUUAACAACAACAUUUCAUCAUCCCAUAAUUCAACAAAGUUCAUGGGUUUAAUUACAACAAUAAGCAUUCCCAAAUUCGAUCAAUCAUUUAACAUCACAUUUCAUAUUCCAAAUCAACAAUUCAUGGGUUUAACAAAACAUUUCUUAAUAUUCCCACAAUUCAAUCAAAUAUUAGGAUUAACAAAACAACACAUUUUCCAUAUUCCCUAUCAUACAUUUUCAUUCCAAUUAAUAAAUUUCAUGGUUUAACAUCACGAUUUUCAUCAUUCCUCCAAUUCAUCAAAAUUCAUUGUUUAAUAACAACAUUUCCAUUAUUCCGCACAAUCAAUCAAUCAUCGGGUUUAACAACACAUUUUCAUUUUUCACACAAUUCAUCAAUAUUGCUUGGGUUUAACAUCAACAUUUCAUCAUUUCCACCAUUCAAUCAUUCAGUAGGUUUAACAACAACAUUUUCAUCACUUCCACAAUUCAUUCCAAAUUUCAUGGGGUUUAACAUUAUCAAUUUUCUCAUUCACACAGUUCAAUCAAUUUUCAUGGUUUAACAUCAACAUUUCCUCAUUUCCACAAUUCAAUAAAUUUUCAUAGGUUUAAAAACAACAUUUUCAUCUUACACAAUUCAAUCAAAAUUUCAUAGGUUUAAAACAGCCUUUCAUCAUUCCCAUAAGUCAAUCAAAUUUCAUCGGGGUUUUAACAUCGAACCUUUUCAUACGUUCACACAUUUCAAUUGAUUUUAAGGGUUUAACAAGAAUAAUUUUUAUUCACAUAUAGUUCAAUCAAUUUCAUGGGUUUACAAUAUUUUCAUUUUAAUCAACUUCCCACAAUUCAACAAAUUUCACCUGGGGUUUAACAUCAUCAUUUUGCAUCCCUCAAAAAUUCUAUAACAUUCAUUCAUAAUUCAAUUCAAAAUUCAUGUGUUUAAUAACAACAUUUCCAUUAUUCCGCUCAAUUCAAUCAAAUUUCAUGGUUUAACAACAACAUUUUCAUUUUUCACACAAUUCAAUCAAAUUUCUUGGUUUAACAUCAACUUUUCAUCAUUUCCACCAUUCAAUCAAAUUAUCGGUUUAACAACAACAUUUUCAUCAUCCCACAAUUCAUUCAAUUUCAUGGGUUUAACAUUAUCAUUUUCAUCAUUCACCAGUUCAAUCAAAUUUUAUGGGUUUAACAUCAACAUUUCAUCAUUUCCACAAUUCAAUCAAUUUUCAUAGGUUUAACAACAAACAUUUUCAUCAUUCACACAAUUCAAUCAAAUUUCAGUUUAACAACAGCACUUUCAUCAUUCCCUUAAGUCAAUCAAUUUCAUCGGUUAACAUCGACAUUUGAUCAUCACACUUUCAAUUAGAUUUUAAGGGUUACAAAAUAUUUUUAUCAUUCAUAAUCAAUAAAAUUUCAUGGUUACACAACAUUUUUCAUCAUUUCAUCAUCAUAUUAUCGCUACACACCACAUAUGCAAAUCACCCAAUUUCAUGGAUUUUAAAUCAUCACAAUUUUCAUCAUUCCACAAUUCAAUCAAACUUUCAUGGGUUUAACAUCCACAUUUUCAUAUUUCCCACAUCAAUCAAAUUCAUAUGGUUUAAAAAACAUUUCCAUAUUCCCAUUCAAUCAAAUUCAUGGGUAUUAAUCACAACAUUUUCAUCUUCUCACACAAUUCCAAUCAAAUUCUUGGCGUUACACCAUCAACAUGUCUUCCAUAUCCAACACUCAAUCAAAUUUCGAUGUUUAAACAAACCAACAUUUUCUAUCAUUCCCAACAAUUCACCAUCAAUUUUAGGUUUAAAAACAACAUCUAUCAUUCUCCCACAACCUUCAAUAAAGUCAUGGGUUUUAACAUCAACAUUUCAUCUAUUUCCACAAUCAAUCAUAAUUUCAAGGUUAACAACAACAUAUUUAUCAUUCACACAAUUCAUCAAAUUUCAUGGUUAACAUUAUACACUUUUCAUCAUCUCAUGAAGUUCAAUCAAAUUUCUGCGUUAACAUCAUCAUUUCAUCAUCUUUCAACAGACUGCAAUCAAAUUUUCAUAGGUUUACACAACAUUUUCAUCAAUACCAAUUCAAUCAAAUUUCAAGGUCUUAACAACAAGCACUUUCAACAUGUUACAUUAAUUCAAUCAAAUUUAUUAGGUUUCAAACAUAAUUUCAUAUUCCAUCAAUUCAACAUAGGAUUUAUGGUUUACACAAUAAUUUUUAUAUGACCACGAUAUUCCAUCAAUUUCAUGGUUUAACAACACAUAUUUUCAUAUCCCACAAUUCAAUCAAAUUUCUGGGUUUAACAAAAACAUUUCUAUCAUCACAUAUUCAAUCAAAUUUUAGGGGUUAAAAUAACAUUUUCAUCAUUCCCACAACUUGAAUAAAAUUUCAUGGUUUAACAUCCACAUUUCAUCAUUCAUAAUUCAAUCAAAUCAUGGGUUUAAUAACAACAUUUCAUUAUUCGGACAUUCAAAUCCAAAUUCAUGGUCUACACACAUUUCAUUUUUCAACACAAGUUCAAUCAAAUUUGUGUGUGUCGUAGCGUGAUCGUUGUCUGCUGCAUGUGCUGAUCUGGAUUUCAUGUUGGGGUGUGAUACUGUACGUUUAUUCUUCCCACAAUUCAUUCAAUGCAGGGUUAACUUAUCUCAUCAUCACACCGGUUCAACAAUUUAGUGGAGGUACAUCAAGAUUUCAUCAUUUCCACAAUUCAAUCGAUUCAUAGUUUAAUCUAUGCGUGUGUAUCUAUCUAUAUCAAUUUCAUGGUUUAACAAAACGAGCACUUAUCAUUCCUUAAGCAAUCAAAUUUCACGUUACAUCGCCUUUCGUGUGUGUGUCUGAUGUGAUAAUAUGUGUGUUUAACAAAUAUUUUUAUCAUUCAUAUAUCAAUCAAAAUUUCAUGUUUUAACACAAUAUUUUACAUUUAAUCACACAAUUCAAUCAAUUCUUGGGUUUAAACAUCAACUUACAUCAUCUUCCACCAUUCAAUCAAUUUCAUUAGGUUUAACAACAAUCAUCAUUCCCCAAUUCAUUCAAUUCAUGGCGUUUUUACAAUUAUCAUUUUCAUCAUCACACAGUUCAAUCAAAUCUUAUGGGUUAACAUAACUUCAUACAUUUCAUCAUUUCCACCAUUCAAUCAAUUUCAUAGAUUUAACAACAACAUUUUCAUCAUUCCCACAAUUCAAUCAAAAUUCAUGGGUUUAACAUCAUCAUUUUCAUCAUUCACACAGUUCAAUCAUAUUUCAUGGGUUUAACAUUACCAUUUCAUCAUUUCCACAAUUCAAUCAAAUUUCAUAGGUUUAACAAUCACAUUUUCAUCAUUCACACAAUUCAAUCAAAUUUCAUGGGAUUAACAUCAUCAUUUUCAUCAUUCCCACAAUUCAAUCAAACUUCAUGUUUUUAACGUCAUCACUUUUAUCAUUCACACAGUUCAAUCGAAUUUCAUGGGUUUAACAUCAACAUUUCAUCAUUUCCACAAUUCAAUCAAACUUCAUAGGUUUAACAACAUCACUUUCAUAAUUCCCAUAAUUCAAUCAAAUUUCAUGGGUUUAACAUCAUCAUUUUCGUCAUUCACACAGUUCAAUCAAAUUUCAUGGGUUUAACAUCAACAUUUCAUCAUUUCAACAAUUCAAUCAAAUUUCGUAGGUUUAACAACAACAUUUUCAUCAUUCACACAAUUCAAUCAAAUUUUAUAGGUUUCACAACAACAUUUUUAUCAUCCCCAUAAUUCAACCAAAUUUCAUGGGUUUAACAACAACAUUUUCAUCAUUCACACAAUUCAAUCAAAUUUUAUAGGUUUCACAACAACAUUUUUAUCAUCCCCAUAAUUCAACCAAAUUUCAUGGGUUUAACAACAACAUUUUCAUCAUUCCCAAAUUUCAAUCAAAUUUCAUGGGUUUCACAUCAACAUUUUUAUCAUUCCCACAAUUCAAUCAAAAUUCAUGUGUUUAAUAACAACAUUUCCAUUAUUCCCACAAUUCAAUCAAAUUUGAUGGGUUUAACAACAGCAUUUUCAUUUUUCACACAAUUCAAUCAAAUUUCUUGGGUUUAACAUCAACAUUUCAUCAUUUCCACCAUUCAAUCAAUUUCAUAGAUUUAACAACAAAAUUUUCAUCGUUCCCAUAAUUCAAUCAAAAUUCAUGGGUUUAACAACAAUACUUUCAUCAUUCCCAUAAUUCAAUCAAAUUUCAUGGGUUUAACAUCAUCAUUUUUGUCAUUCACACAGUUCAAUCAAAUUUCAUGGGUUUAACAUCAACAUUUCAUCAUUUCCACAAUUUAAUCAAAUUUCAUCGGUUUAACAACAACAUUUUCAUCAUUUACACAAUUCAAUCAAAUUUAAUAGGUUUAACAACAACAUUUUCAUCAUCCCCAUAAUUCAACCAAAUUUCAUGGGUUUAACAACAACAUUUUCAUCAUUCCCACAAUUCAAUUAAAUUUCAUUGGUUUAACAUCAACAUUUUCAUCAUUCCCACAAUUCAAUCAAAUUUCAUGGGUUUAACAACAACAUUUCUAUCAUUCACACAAUUCAAUCAAAUUUUAGGGGUUUAAC
rnacentral:lncRNA from 1 species